CAGUUAUCCCGUGGUGAUUUGGCCGGCCGGCUUGCAGCCACGUUAAACAAGUCGCUAAAAGGGUCGGGUUGCAAGACCG
rnacentral:ncRNA from 2 species